ACGCGCUGCGCGUGCUAAGCUUCUAGCUACGGCGGGCCUCGCAGUGGAGGUUGGGGGGGCUCGUUGUCGCGCAUGGCAGUCAUCCGCCUCCAUCGGGGACCCCAGUCGAUGCCGGCCGGUGCUCUGAAAAGAUCGAAGAUUUCACGAAACCGGGACGGCUGACACACAGCAGAUUAUCCGGAACAUGGACUGUCCAGGAGUUGUCGAUAAACACCCUUGCCCUGUCAUCAGGAAAUCAGAAGUGGAGAGUUACUGCCAUCUGACAGUCUCCCUAACAGCUUGGGCUGGUCUCCAUGAAACUGGCAGGCUACCUUGUUAGCUGCAAGGAGUAACAUCUCACACCUCACAGCCCCCUUCUCCCAGGGCCUCUACUGUAUGUCAUUGCACCAGCACACACAAAGCGGUCAUCCCUUCCUCAGUGUUUCAGCAGUAAUCCCAGUUUGCCAGAGCUAGAAGAGCCCUGAGGUGGGUGGAGCAGCCCACAAAUCAUCACAACUGUGCAGUGUCUGGUGGGCCACUCUAUGGAGUCUGGUCUGUAUAGGGCAUGCCUUGGUAUUUGUCAUGGAUAUGGAGACAUGAGCCCUGGCUAUGAACACCUAAUGAAAGUGGGAACAAAAUUUGCAGCUUAAUUAUCCAGAUAGAUUUCAAGCCCUGCCUGCUUGCCUUCUAGAAGGAAUCAACAGUUUCAUGUUCUUGGUCCAGGGUAGUGUAUCUCAGGUCCUCCAGCAUCUCCUGAAUGGAAAACAAAAGAUACUUAAUAAAUGUAGCUUUAAAUACCA